rnacentral:lncRNA from 1 species
UCACUCCAAUUUGUAUGUACUGAUAAUCAAUUAGCAGACAUUUUUACAAAACCCCUAAGUGAAGAGAGGUUUAGUGUGCUUAGAAGGGGAUUAGGAGUGAUUGAUCCAUCCUAGUGGGAGUUUUUCACUAGAUUAAUUGAUUUUGAUGAUUAGAAUGAGGUUAAAAUAGAGUUUCUAUGCAGUGAUCAUCAAAUCAGUCCUUAAUUAGGUGAUUUUCCCUCAUUUGGCACGAUUAUGGCAUGGUUUUUAGGUGUGUGCCAAGGUUAGAGACGACUCGAGUAAGUUUCAGAGCCGGCUCCUAAGGGGGAGUCGACUCGCGCAUUAGCGGGAGUCGACUCGCAAAGUUGGUAGCUGAGGGGGAGUCGACUCGCACACUGUCGGGAGUCGACUCGAAGUCUACAUGCGCUAACAGAGAGUCGACUCGCGCAUAUUCUGGAGUCGACUCGAGGUCGAGUCGACUCCUCGAGUCGACUCGCGACUCAGGGGAGUCGACUCGCAGUCGGGAUCCGACUUUUUAACUCUAGGUUUGUC